rnacentral:misc_RNA from 1 species
AGCAGCCGCGGUAAUUCCAGCUCCAAUAGCGUAUAUUAAAGUUGCUGCAGUUAAAAAGCUCGUAGUUGAAUUUCGGGAUCAAUAUGUUGGUCGUGCCUCGGUACGUACUAGCUUAUUGGUUUCUCCCUUCUGACGAACCAUGAUGUCAUUUAUUUGGUGUUAUGGGAAAUCAGGACUGUUACUUUGAAAAAAAUUAGAGUGUUUAAAGCAGGCUCGCGCUUGAAUACAUUAGCAUGGAAUAAUGAAAUAGGACGUUUGAUUCUAUUUUGUUGGUUUCUAGGAUCGACGUAAUGAUUAAUAGGGAUAGUUGGGGGCAUUAGUAUUCAAUUGUCAGAGGUGAAAUUCUUGGAUUUAUUGAAGACUAACUACUGCGAAAGCAUUUGCCAAGGAUGUUUUCAUUAAUCAAGAACGAAAGUUAGGGGAUCGAAGACGAUCAGAUACCGUCGUAGUCUUAACCAUAAACUAUGCCGACUAGGGAUCGGAUGAUGUUAAUUUUUUAAUGACUCAUUCGGCGCCUUAC